UACGUAGGGGCCGAGCGUUGUCCGGAAUUACUGGGCGUAAAGGGCGCGUAGGCGGCCUGAUAAGUAGGGGGUGAAAUCCUGCGGCUUAACCGCAGGGCUGCCUUCUAAACUGUCAGGCUAGAGCACGGUAGAGGCAGAUGGAAUUCCCGGUGUAGCGGUGGAAUGCGUAGAGAUCGGGAAGAACAUCAGUGGCGAAGGCGGUCUGCUGGGCCGUUGCUGACGCUGAGGCGCGACAGCGUGGGGAGCAAACAGG
rnacentral:rRNA from 1 species